GCCGGGCACAGUGGCGCGUGCCUGUAAUCCUGCUGUCUGGGAGGCAAAGGCUGAGGAAUCACUUGAGUCCGGGAGUUCUAGUCUGCCCUGAGCCAUGUUGAUUGGGUGUCCACACUAAGUUCAUUAUCAAUAUGGUGUUCCUGGGGGAGCUUGGGAUCGCCAGGUUGUCUAAAGAGCGGUGAACCGAUCGGGAAUGGAGCAGGUCAAAGCCCCCGUGCUGAUCAGUAGUGGGAUAGUGCCUGAGAAUGGUCAGUGUAGAACAGCCUGGGCAAUAAAGUGAGACACAGUCUUUU
rnacentral:SRP_RNA from 1 species